rnacentral:rRNA from 1 species
UACGAAGGGGGCAAGCGUUAUUCGGAUUUAUUGGGCGUAAAGGGCGCGUAGGUGGCUGGGCAAGUCCGGUGUGAAAACGCUACCGCUCAACGGAGCGAAUGCGCUGGAUACUGCUCAACUUGAGUACGGAAGAGGUCAGCGGAAUACCUGGUGUACCGGUGGAAUGGGUAGAGAUCAGGUAGAACACCUGUGGCGAAGGCGGCUGACUGGUCCGGUACUGACACUGAUGCGCGAAAGCGUGGGGAGCAAACGGG